GCCGGACGCGGUGGCGCGCGCCUGUAGUCCCAGCUACUCGGGAGGCUGAGAUGGGAGGAUCGCUUGAGCCCAGGAGUUCUGGGCUGUAGUGCGCUAUGCCGAUCGGGUGUCCGCACUAAGUUCGGCAUCAAUAUGGUGACCUCCCGGGAGCGGGGGACCACCAGGUUGCCUAAGGAGGGGUGAACCGGCCCAGGUCGGAAACGGAGCAGGUCAAAACUCCCGUGCUGAUCAGUAGUGGGAUCGCGCCUGUGAAUAGCCACUGCACUCCAGCCUGGGCAACAUAGCGAGACCCCGUCUCA
ensembl:misc_RNA Metazoa_SRP Metazoan signal recognition particle RNA